rnacentral:rRNA from 1 species
UACGUAGGGUGCAAGCGUUGUCCGGAAUUAUUGGGCGUAAAGAGCUCGUAGGCGGUUUGUUGCGUCGGCUGUGAAAUCCCGAGGCUCAACCUCGGGUCUGCAGUCGAUACGAGCAAACUAGAGUGUUGCAGGGGAGACUGGAAUUCCUGGUGUAGCGGUGAAAUGCGCAGAUAUCAGGAGGAACACCGGUGGCGAAGGCGGGUCGCUGGGACGGUAUUGACGCUAAGGCGCGAAAGCGUGGGGAGCAAACAGG